GGUUAAAAAGCUCGUAGUUGGAUUUCUGUUGAGGACGGCCGGUCCGCAUUAUGUGCGUGUAUCUGGUUCGGCCUUGGCAUCCUCCAGGGGAACGUUCCUGCGCUUCGCUGCGUGGGACGGUAUUCUGGACUUUUACUUUGAGGAAAUUAGAGUGUUCACGGCAGGCAGUCGCCUUGAAUAUAUUAGCAUGGAAUAAUAAUAUAGGACCUUGAUUCUAUUUUGUUGGUUUCUAGAAUUUAGGUAAUGAUUAAUAGGGACAAUUGGGGGCAUUUGUAUUAACACGUCAGAGGUGGAAUUCUUGGAUUGUGUACGACAAACUACUGCGAAAGCAUUUGCCAAGGAUGUUUUCAUUGAUCAAGAACGAAAGUAAGGGGAUCGAAGACGAUUAGAUACCGUCGUAGUCUUUACCAUAAACUAUGCCAACUAGAGAUUGGAGGUCGUUCUUUUUAUGACUCCUU
rnacentral:rRNA from 1 species